GCAGCAGAGGGGCCCUGAUGCUGCAGACCUGGUCCCCGCCGGCUCAACCUUAAUGCGCUGCGGUUGCCCACCAGUUCCUUGGCACCCCCACCCCAGGCCACUCCUGGUAGAAGUCUUCCCCGCUGCUGGGGCUGCGGCUGUGGCUGCGGCUGCAGUGGUAGCUCCUGCGAGAGGCCUGCAGGGGGCGUCAUCCCCUCUUCUGACGAUGUGGGUAGCGGCCACUGCCUACUGCCUGCUGUAGGGGAAGGUGAGGGAUCCACGCAAGACCCAUUCUGCAGCAGUUGGUCAUCCAGGUAAUCCAGAAUUGUCUCCUUCAGCCACUGAGAGAAAGAGAGGAGACAAAAUCAUGCAACAUUUCCUGCGAGACUGAACCCACAAGUGCUGAGAGCUCCUCGCGUUCUGCUUUGACGCUACAUUGACGCUCCAUGGCAUGAAAAGGGGCUGGCUUCCUAAUGUGGAGAGGAAGUUUAUGCAUUCUAAGGAAGAGAAGCUGCUCUCUCCUUGGACGUCCUGCCCACCUAGGCACCUGGGGUCCAUUUUUCAUCUGGCUCUAAUCAUCUUGGUCAAGAACACGCCUCCUGACCCCCCUCAGCACAGAUCCCAUAGUUUUCUGGAAGGCUGUCUCCAAAGCACACAGAACAGGAGGCUUCCUCUGCACCCUGAUUUGUGUUAAAGAUUCAAGUCUUGAGAAAAAGCAGCACCUCUCUAACGGUGGCAUGCCGCGCUCUCUCUCUCCCUUGCAAGGCAAAGCAGAGCCUCCUUUGAGAAGAAUGCAUGUGAGAUGGUGUGCUGCAAUUGGCCGCUGGCUAACAGAGAUGCUGUCACAAAGUAAUGGAGUGACACAGUGACCCACUGGUCUCUUCCCCACCAAGAGUUGAGUGCUACAGUUUGCAAAGAGUGUUUCUGUUAAGCUGAUUGUGUGGCAGAACCAUAGUAGACUUCCAUGAUGACUACGGAUUGACAUUCUUCUGACUGUCCCUUUUCAUUUUUAUUCCGAAGCUAUAACAAGGUGAAAACCGGAUGAGAUAUAUUUUAUUAGUGUGUUCUCAUUUAUAUAGGGACCACAUUUUUCAUGACAAAGUACUAUAAUCAUUGAUCACAAAUAUCCAAACACUGAGAAAGGAGCAAAGUAUUGCAAAGAUUGGGAAACUUUUAUGAAGUUAAUUUGAAGAAAUUAAUCUCUGGUGGUGUUGUGUCUCCUAUAAAGUACAGCUCCUGGCAACAUGCUGGACCCUGAGACACCAGAAGCAGCUUCUAUGGGCCCUUCCCCAUGACAGCCACCCUCUGUAGAUGUCACAGGUUUAUAGACUGGAAGGGCACAGUGAGCAUCAGCUUUCAAUAUGAGAGAGCUUAUUUAUGCUCUCAUUUCAAAAUGAAACAAAUAUAUAGACAUUCUAGAAUUUUACCCCUGGACAUCUCGCAAGGGGUAGUCACCCCACUUGUAAAAUACCUACAAAUGACUCCUUGCAGUUAACCCUAACAACCCGGUUUUCUUUCGCCUCUCAGCUAAACUUUCCCCUUUAUUUUCAGUUUUAGUUUUUAAUUAACUUAAAGAGAAGCAGGAUUCUUUAUGAAAUUUUCAUAUUUAAUUUUGGCUGGUCCCCCCCCCCCACACACACAUAUACCUUAAAGUUAAUUAUCUACAGAUUCACCUCCACAGGCCUGUCCCAUUGGAAGGGCUGAUGAGUGUGAUUUCCAGGGGCCAUGGCAAGCUAACCUUCCCUAACCAAAUACUGCCUCAUGUCUCCUGUUAUGAGAACAAAGAGAUGGAGACAAUCCCUAUGAUCUCCACUACACAUAUCAUACCAGCCUCUAUGCACACAACAACAGUACAUUCUUGGUAGGAAAAGUGUUUGGUACCAAGUACAUGGUGGGCUCACUGAGACAAAGUCCCAGGAUUUCAGCCGGGCUCAGUACCCUUCCCAUUACAUGAUCAUGGAACCAAAUCCAGCCUCCGCAUCUUUCAGAAUAGGCUACAGGAAAAGCAAUUCACCUUCCCUCUGCUCUCUGUGAUAAUGAAGUCUGCUUGACUUUAUGACUUAUAUGGACACAAUGAACAACAUACCUGCUACUC
rnacentral:lncRNA from 1 species